rnacentral:rRNA from 1 species
UACGGGGGGGCAAGCGUUGUUCGGAAUUACUGGGCGUAAAGGGCUCGUAGGCGGCCAACUAAGUCAGACGUGAAAUCCCUCGGCUUAACCGGGGAACUGCGUCUGAUACUGGAUGGCUAGAGGUAGGUAGGGGAGAUCGGAAUUCCGUGGUGUAGCGGUGAAAUGCGGCAGAAUAAUCAGGAGGAACACCGGUGGCGAAGGCGGGACUCGUGG